AUUGAACGCUGGCGGCAGGCCUAACACAUGCAAGUCGAGCGGAUGAAGGGAGCUUGCUCCUGGAUUCAGCGGCGGACGGGUGAGUAAUGCCUAGGAAUCUGCCUGGUAGUGGGGGAUAGCGUCCGGAAACGGGCGCUAAUACCGCAUACGUCCUGAGGGAGAAAGUGGGGAUCUUCGGACCUCACGCUAUCAGAUGAGCCUAGGUCGGAUUAGCUAGUUGGUGGGGUAAAGGCCUACCAAGGCGACGAUCCGUAACUGGUCUGAGAGGAUGAUCAGUCACACUGGAACUGAGACACGGUCCAGACUCCUACGGGAGGCAGCAGUGGGGAAUAUUGGACAAUGGGCGAAAGCCUGAUCCAGCCAUGCCGCGUGUGUGAAGAAGGUCUUCGGAUUGUAAAGCACUUUAAGUUGGGAGGAAGGGCAGUAAGUUAAUACCUUGCUGUUUUGACGUUACCAACAGAAUAAGCACCGGCUAACUUCGUG
rnacentral:rRNA from 1 species